rnacentral:miRNA from 8 species
AUCAUAGAGGAAAAUCCAUGUU